rnacentral:rRNA from 1 species
AUUGAACGCUGGCGGCAGGCUUAACACAUGCAAGUCGAACGAGUGGCGGACGGGUGAGUAAUGUAUGGGAAUCUAGCUAAUGGAGGGGGAUAACUACGGGAAACUGUAGCUAAUACCGCGUACCAUAGGAUGAGCACAAGUGGGAGUAGGUAGUUGGUGAUGUAAAGGCCAACCAAGGACACGAUCUCUAGCUGGUCUGAGAGGAUGACCAGCCACACUGGGACUGAUACACGGCCCAGACUCCUACGGGAGGCAGCAGUGGGGAAUAUUGCGCAAUGGCGGAAACCUGACGCAGCCAUGCCGCGUGAAUGAGGAAGGCCUUCGGGUUGUAAAGUUCUUUCGGUAGCGAUGCGUUAACUACAGAAGAAGCACCGGCUAACUCCGUGCCAGCAGCCGCGGUAAUUC